GACGAACGCUGGCGGCGUGCUUAACACAUGCAAGUCGAACGGAAAGGCCCUGCUUUUGUGGGGUGCUCGAGUGGCGAACGGGUGAGUAACACGUGAGUAACCUGCCCUUGACUUUGGGAUAACUUCAGGAAACUGGGGCUAAUACCGGAUAGGAGCUCCUGCUGCAUGGUGGGGGUUGGAAAGUUUCGGCGGGUGGGGAUGGACUCGCGGCUUAUCAUCUUGUUGGUGGGGUAGUGGCUUACCAAGGCUUUGACGGGUAGCCGGCCUGAGAGGGUGACCGGCCACAUUGGGACUGAGAUACGGCCCAGACUCCUACGGGAGGCAGCAGUGGGGAAUAUUGCACAAUGGGCGGAAGCCUGAUGCAGAAACGCCGCGUGCGGGAUGACGGCCUUCGGGUUGUAAACCGCUUUCGCCUGUGACGAAGCGUGAGUGACGGUAAUGGGUAAAGAAGCACCGGCUAACUACGUG
rnacentral:rRNA from 1 species